rnacentral:tRNA from 1 species
AUAAAUUUGGCAGAGAAGUGUAUUAGACUUAGAAUCUAAAUAUGGAAAUUAAAGUUUUCCAAUUUAUA